CAUAGGUUAAUGAGGCGAACCGGGGGAACUGAAACAUCUAAGUACCCCGAGGAAAAGAAAUCAACCGAGAUUCCCCCAGUAGCGGCGAGCGAACGGGGAGCAGCCCAGAGCCUGAAUCAGUGUGUGUGUUAGUGGAAGCGUCUGGAAAGGCGCGCGAUACAGGGUGACAGCCCCGUACACAAAAAUGCACAUACUGUGAGCUCGAUGAGUAGGGCGGGACACGUGGUAUCCUGUCUGAAUAUGGGGGGACCAUCCUCCAAGGCUAAAUACUCCUGACUGACCGAUAGUGAACCAGUACCGUGAGGGAAAGGCGAAAAGAACCCCGGCGAGGGGAGUGAAAAAGAACCUGAAACCGUGUACGUACAAGCAGUGGGAGCACGCUUAGGCGUGUGACUGCGUACCUUUUGUAUAAUGGGUCAGCGACUUAUAUUCUGUAGCAAGGUUAACCGAAUAGGGGAGCCGAAGGGAAACCGAGUCUUAACUGGGCGUUAAGUUGCAGGGUAUAGACCCGAAACCCGGUGAUCUAGCCAUGGGCAGGUUGAAGGUUGGGUAACACUAACUGGAGGACCGAACCGACUAAUGUUGAAAAAUUAGCGGAUGACUUGUGGCUGGGGGUGAAAGGCCAAUCAAACCGGGAGAUAGCUGGUUCUCCCCGAAAGCUAUUUAGGUAGCGCCUCGUGAAUUCAUCUCCGGGGGUAGAGCACUGUUUCGGCAAGGGGGUCAUCCCGACUUACCAACCCGAUGCAAACUGCGAAUACCGGAGAAUGUUAUCACGGGAGACACACGGCGGGUGCUAACGUCCGUCGUGAAGAGGGAAACAACCCAGACCGCCAGCUAAGGUCCCAAAGUCAUGGUUAAGUGGGAAACGAUGUGGGAAGGCCCAGACAGCCAGGAUGUUGGCUUAGAAGCAGCCAUCAUUUAAAGAAAGCGUAAUAGCUCACUGGUCGAGUCGGCCUGCGCGGAAGAUGUAACGGGGCUAAACCAUGCACCGAAGCUGCGGCAGCGAAGCUGAUGCGUUGUUGGGUAGGGGAGCGUUCUGUAAGCCUGUGA
rnacentral:rRNA from 1 species